rfam:Heterocephalus glaber contig109217, whole genome shotgun sequence.
GUCUACGGUCAUACACCCUGAAUGCACCCGAUCUUGUCUGAUUUAGGAAGCUAAGUAGGGUUGGGCCUGCUUAGUACUUGGAUAGGGAGAAUACAAUGGUUUAUUUAUUUA